UGGGAGGUACGCUAUGGGUACACAAAGGC
rnacentral:piRNA from 1 species